rnacentral:rRNA from 1 species
AUGUUUCUUCACAUGGCAGGAACCAUGGUGAGGUUGGUGCUGCUCUUCACGUUCUUGUGCCCCAGCUCCCAUGCUGACCAGCUGGCGUCACCACCUUCUUCUUCGGCUCCGGCGGCCACCGACGAGCUCGCGCUCCUCGCCUUCAAGUCCAUGCUGCUGUCUGACGGUGGUUCGCCGGUACUGGCAUCAUGGAACACGUCGAGCCACUUCUGCCGCUGGCCGGGCGUGGCAUGCAGCCGCGAGAAGCAGGUCGUCGCGCUGCGCCUGGGCUCCUCCAACCUGUCCGGCCGCAUCUCGCCGCACCUGGGCAACCUGUCCGCCCUCGCGGAGCUGGACCUCGGCGGCAACCGGCUCGCCGGUGAGAUACCGCCGGAGCUCGGCCGUCUCAGCCGUCUCCGCUCCCUCGACCUGAGCGCCAACUCCCUCGGAGGAACCAUCCCGGCGGUCGUCGCCGCAGGGUGCACCAACCUCACCUCGCUCGUCCUGGGCAGGAACAGCCUCCGAGGUACGAUCCCCGCCCUCAUCGGCACCGCCUUGAGAAAGCUCACCAUGCUGGACCUCCACCGGAACAACCUCACGGGGCACAUCCCUCCGUCGCUGGCGGAGCUGCGCUCCAUGCAGGUCCUGUCUCUGUGCUACAACGACCUGUCCGGCGAGAUCCCGGCCGCGCUGGGCAACCUCACCGGCCUCCAGGAGCUCUACCUCCAUUACAACCGCCUCUCGGGAGCCAUCCCUCCGUCUCUCGGGCAGCCGCGCAACAUGUCGUACUUCAACGUGGAGUACAACCAGUUAAUCGGGGCGAUGCCCGCCUCCAUUUGGAACCUCUCUUCUCUCGUCGUCUUCUCCGUCAUGUACAACAUGCUAAGCGGCGCCAUGCCCCCCGGCGCGUUCGCCGCCAUGCCCCGCCUCCACCAGAUACUCAUCAACAACAACCAGCUCCAUGGCCCUUUCCCGGUGUCCAUAGCAAAUGCUUCCAACAUUUCGCUGGUUCAGCUCGACGGCAACCUUUUCACCGGCAUCGUUCCCAGCGACAUCGGCAGGCUAGGGAAUCUCAAUUUUCUGCUUAUCCAGAACAAUCUGUUUGAAGCUAAUGAGCCAAGAGAUUGGGAGUUCAUAACCCAUCUGGCAAAUUGCUCCCAGUUACAAGAGCUAGGAUUGGCUGGUAAUAAGUUUGGAGGUGUUCUUCCUGCUGGCUCACUCUCCAACCUAUCCACUUCACUCUAUGACCUCGAACUUGGGGCCAACAAGAUCACAGGAAGCAUUCCAGAGGAUAUUAGUAACCUCGUAAACUUACGCAAUCUCGACAUGUCCCACAACUUCUUCACCGGAAGUCUCCCCUCUUCCUUGGGAAGGCUUCAAAAUUUGGCCCGUCUCUAUGUCAUUGGAAACAAUUUGACCGGGCCGGUCCCGUCGACCAUAGGAAAUCUUACCGGACUAUCUGAUCUGCGGCUCGACAUGAACGCGUUCAGUGGUAGAAUACCAAGCACACUCGGAAACCUGGCAAAGCUGUAUUCACUAGGUCUUUCAGCAAAUAGCUUCACUGGUCCAAUACCCAGCACAUUAUUCAGCAUCCAAACACUCUCCAUAGUACUUGAUGUGUCACACAAUGAUCUAGAGGGACCGAUACCACAAGAAAUCGGGAAUCUGAAAAAUCUCGCGGAACUGCAUUUAGAAUCAAACAGAUUAUCUGGUGAAAUUCCAGCCACCAUUGGUGAAUGUCGACUUCUACAGAUUCUGUACCUGCAAAGCAAUUCCUUGAGCGGUAGCAUCCCAUCAACCCUGAAUCAACUGAUGGGUCUUGAAACCCUUGACAUGUCAAGCAACAACUUGUCAGGCCAGAUACCCAAGUUCCUUGGCAAUAUCAGCAUGCUCCAGUAUCUGAACCUGUCCCUUAACCGGUUUGUCGGAGACGUGCCGACUUUUGGUGUCUUCGCAAAUGCUACCGCAAUCUCAAUCCAAGGCAGCGUUGAACUUUGUGGUGGUAUACCUACUCUGCAUCUGCCUCCUUGUUCUUCUCAACUACCAAAGAGGAAGCAUAAACAUUUUGUGGUUCCUAUUGUUCUCUCUCUCAUUGCAACGCUUGUCGUGCUUGCAACGCUCUACAAGCUUGGCGUUUGGCACAAGAAAAACAGAACAAAACCCCCUUCAUCCACAUCCAUGCAGAGCCACCCAAUGAUAUCUUAUUCGCAGCUGGUAAAGGCAACGGAUGGUUUUUCGACAACCAACUUGUUGGGUUCUGGAUCAUUUGGGGUCGUGUACAAGGGAGGGUUAGAUGGCCAAGAGGGUGAAAGAGAAAAUAUUGUUGCUGUGAAGGUAUUGAAGCUUCAAACUCCCAGGGCACUCAGGAGUUUCGCCGCCGAAUGCGAAGCGCUAAGAAACAUGCGGCACCGGAAUCUUGUCAAGAUAGUUACGGUCUGCUCGAGCAUCGAUACUAGAGGGUGCGAUUUCAAAGCGAUUGUGUAUGAGUUCAUGCCCAAUGGCACCCUAGAUGGGUGGCUACAUCUUGAGACAAGUGAGCAAACAGAGCGGGAGCAGCUUGAUGUGGCUUGUGCGCUGGACUAUCUUCACUGCCAUGGCCCCGCACCUGUUGUACACUGUGAUGUUAAGUCAAGUAAUGUGCUCCUGGAUGCUGAUAUGGUGGCCCAUGUGGGAGACUUUGGGCUUGCAAGGAUUCUUGUUGAGGGAAACUCAUCUCUCCAGCAGUCAACGAGCUCGAUGGGACUUGCUGGAACAAUUGGUUAUGCAGCCCCAGAAUAUGGGGCUGGAAACAUGGUGUCAACAAACGGAGACAUUUACAGUUACGGGAUUCUUGUUCUAGAAACUGUAACUGGGAAGAGGCCCACAGACACUAUAUUCAGACAAGGGCUGAGGCUCCGUGAAUACGUUGAGAAAGCUCUGGGUCAUAGCAUGAUGGAUGUUAUCGACAAGCGGCUCGAAGAUGAGCUCCGGACCGCGGAUGAUUUUUCAAGGAAGAAAAAGAUGGACUGUCUGACAUCGCUGCUCAGGCUGGGAAUGUGGUGCUGUGAUGAAACACCGUCCAGCAGAAUGCUAACUGGAGACAUCGUCAGGCAAUUGGAGGCCAUCAAAGAAUCCCUUUCACAGACAACACACAACUUGUGA